rnacentral:lncRNA from 1 species
CAUCUGCAGAUUGACCCCUAGCUCAAGGAAUUUCCAUAUGCUUCAGGUGCGGCCCUAAAAAGCAAAAAAAUAAAAAUUAAUAAAAUAAAAUAAAACUGUUAGAUUUAAACAUUUCACCAAACACUAACAGAAUGCUACCACCACCUUUGUACGGUUCUGGAGUAGAACAGAAAACCCUCAAACUGGAAGGUCAUCAAAUUCAAACCCCAUUCCUUAAGUUUGAAGAAGCUAUAAAAUAGUUUCCACAUAAAAGUCAAUGUAAAUAUUACUUAUACUAUAAAAAAUAUAACUUUAAUAUCAAUAAAUUUGUCCUAACUAUAAUCUUUGGUUCCAGUAUAAAUAUAUCCAUUCCACUUCCAGCUGACAAUCUGUUUUUUUGUUUGUUUGUUUCCAUUCUUAGCUAGACCCUCUGAAUUCAUGUCCUUCCUUAACUCCCUGAUUGCCCACAGCAACUGACAGAUCUUUGUCAUUUUCAAAUCCCCCCUUCCAUUCUGCCUGGAAUUUCUCAAGAGCAUAUACAAGCUAUUUCAUCUACAUAUAACUGCAUCUACAUAUUGGCAUCAAUUUAAACUCUUUUUUUUUCUUUUUUUUUUUUAAUUUUUAUCGCCAUAUCUGCAGCUUAUGGAAGUUCUUGGGGCAGGGGUCGAUCGGAGCUACAGCUGCCAGCCUACACCACAGCCACUAGAUCCAAGCCUUGUCUUUGACCUAUACCACAGCUUCAAUGCCAGAUCCUUAACUCAUUGAGUGAGACCAGGGGUCGAACCCUAUCCUUACAAACACUAUGUCAGGUUAUUAACCCACUGAGUCAUAAUGAGAACUCUCCCAACUGACAAUCCUUUUGAUUUUUUCGGAAAACUGUAAUAUCCCUUCUAAUGUCAGCUUCAUUGUAUGAUUUUGAUGUGCAGUGUUAUUUUGUGGGAAGAAAUACUAUCUUUCUAUUCUCAUGUUUUCAGUCAUAAACUCUACCUUGCCAUGUGAUAGUGAUAGUUGUGUACAAAAAAAAAAAAAAGGCCCAAGUUCAGUCUGUGAUGUUUGAAAAUAGAUGUGUAUCUAAUAUGAAAUAAUAAUAAAAUAAUUUGUAUAACAAUUGAUUCCUAUACUCACUAAUUUCUUUAUUUGGGAAAAAAAGUAUUGAAUCUAGAAGGAAAGAAAUUAAAGGACUGAAAAAAAUGCUUCCCCCAAAUCUAAACUAGAAGUAUUUAAGAAAUGUUUUCUUAUUAAGACAUGCAGAGAAUAAAGUAAAUUGAGCUGGAGAGAGGAUUGCAUAACUGGCUGUGAAAAUAGCCAUUUGUUAAAAAUAAGACAAAUCUUCAUCAGAAGAAGGAAGUGGUUGUAAAAGGGCUAAUAAUUUUGUAGGAAAACUUACAAGUAUUUCAAGGGCAGGGCUGUGCUAGUGUGUGUAUAUCCAGCUUUAGUCUAGAAAGGCUGGGUUGUUCUAAACUAUCAGAGAGUAUGAUGUCCCAAGGGUUUGGAAAUGGAGUUUUAUGGUAGAAUGUAAAAUCCCUAGUCAAUCACCAUAUGGGGGGAGGAAGAGACUUUGGUGAUGAGCCCUAUUAAUUGAAGCAUAUUACGGAGGAAACAUGAUGAGCUUAAAGAGAAGAGAUUCCAAUAAGUGUAAAAGGAGAAAAAGAGAGGGUAAGACCCAGACUUCACACCUGUGACCUUCUCAUAGCAUGGCCCAGUCAGUGAAUGUUAGAGCUGGAAGUGGCCUUGAAAGCCUCUGCUUCUUCUGCCUCCAUUUCAGAUGGCAGAACUGAGCAUGUAGAUUAGAAAAGCAUGGAUCCAACUGGAACCAUCAAGAAAUCCAACAUUUUUGAGUGAUAAGCAAAGGAGGAGUGACACAGGAGACCAAGAAGGAACAGUUAAAAGUCAGGAAAAGGGCUUAUUUUCCAUCAAUUACUUAUGAAAAAUGGCUAAAUAUGGUCUGUAUAAAAGCAAAAUCAAUAAGCAAGACAUGGAAGCAACCGAAGUGUCCACUAACAGAUAAAUGGAUAAAGAUGUGGUACAUAAAUACAUAUAUUACUCAGCCAUAAAAAAGAAUGAAAUAAUGCCAUUUGCAGCAACAUGAAUGGGCCUAGAGGCUAUCAUACCAAGUGAAGUUAGAGAAAGACAAAUAUCAUAUGAUAUCACUUAUAUGUGGAAUCUCAUAAAAAGACAAAAGAACUUACAGAACUUAUUUAUAAAACAGAAAUAAACUCACAGAUUUCAAAACCAGUCCUUUCUCUCUCUCUCUCUCUCUCUCUCUCUCUCUCUCUCUCUCUCUCUCUCUUUUUUGUCUUUUUACACCUGCAAUGUAUGGAGGUUCCCAGGCUAGGGAUCCAAUUGAAGCUUGUAGUCACAGGCCUAUACUACAGCCACAGAAACAUGGGCUCCAAGCUGCCUCUGUGACCUACACCACAGCUCACAGCAACGCCAGAUCCUUAACCCAAUGAGCAAGGCCAGGGAUUGAACCCGUGUCCUCAUGGAUACUAGUUGGGUUCAUUAACUGCUGAGCCACAACGGGAAUGCCUCAAAACCAAUCUUAAGGUUACCGUAAUUGAAACCAUUAAGGGGAGGAAAGAAUUGGGUGGGUAGGAAUAACACAUAUACACUACUAUAUAAAAGGGAUGCUUAACAAGAAACUGCUGUAUCUAUAGCAUAGGAAAAUCUACUCAACAGUUUGUAAUAACCUAUAUGGGAAAAAAGAAUGGAUAGAUAUAUAUACAUGACUGAUUCACUUUGCCGUACACUUGAAACUAAUACAACAUUGUAUAUCAGCUAUACUUCAAUGAAAUUAAAAUUUU